AUGUGUGUUUGUGUGUGUGUGUGUGUGGUGGGUGUGUCUAACACAUACAUAUUUCCUGUUUUAUUCUGAGCUCAUAUUCAUCUUUUUACGACAACCUAACCUUCUCUAUCUUAAGAGAUUUGUAUUCGCACACUCCAGUGGCUCAUAAAAUGAACUCUUGUCCUGAACUGGUGAUUGUACUCUUUUUAAUGAUUGGAGAAAGCAAUGGAGACUCGGUGACUCAGACAGAAGGCCAAGUGACACUGUCUGAAGGGACUUCUCUGACUGUGAACUGUUCCUAUGAAACCAGACAGUACCCAGUCCUGUUCUGGUAUGUGCAGUAUCCCGGAGAAGGCCCACAGCUCCUCUUUAAAGUCCUAAAGGCCAAUGAGAAGGGAAGCAGCAGAGGUUUUGAAGCUACCUAUGAUGAAGGAACCACCUCCUUCCACUUGCGGAAAGCCUCGGUGCAGGAGUCAGACUCGGCUGUGUACUACUGUGCUCUGAGAGACACAGUGGCAGAAACCACAGUGGAAGCUGAGCAUAAACUCUGAGAAGCAUGGAGCUGGCUGCUGAGUGUGUUGCAGUCACUUAGGGACCAUGGGCAGGACCGUUGUUGAUACCACACAUAAAAGCAUCUAAUUAACAUUACGAUCACAUUAGGAGAACAGGAAGGAAGCAAGCUAUAUUUUAGGCUUAAUCAGAGAGAAUGAAGGCAGUCACAUAUCACGGUGAUUUCCUACUUUGCUUUUGAUUUGUGAGAGGGAACUUUAUGUAGUCCAGGAUGGCCUUGAAUAAUUUGUGAACCUGAGGUUGGCUCUGAACUCUUCUUUCUGUCUAAAUCUACAGUGGGCUAGAGUUACAUGCAUGAACCACCAUACUAGGCUGAAUUUGUGAUUUCUUAAAUACAGAAUCUCUUGUGGAAUGAAACUAUGUGUCCAUCAUCAUUGAUAAUCCUAACUCUUGGAACCUGAUUCAUGCCAUUCGUGGAAUUAUCAUGUGUGACACAAGACAUGGCUUAUGAGGCUGCCUGUGUUCCACACCUUCCUGGCAAAGUGCAAUAAGAAAGGGCUAUUUCUUUUUCCCCUUUCAAGAUCUAAUAAUUUAUUUAUCUGUUACUUGUAAAGAUUUUUAUGUUUGACUGAAUUUAAAAGUAGAGGCUUUCAGUGGAGACAGUUCACAUCUUGUGAAAAUAUGUUCCUGCCAUUUUUAUUUGGUUCCCUCCAUUCUUUUGGCCAAAAAAAAAAAAAAAAAAAAAAAAAAAAAGAAAGAAAAAAAAAGUCUAGCAUAUUCUGCAGCAUCUUCCUUAAGUCUCUAGUGUGUUUCUUUUUCACUGUAAUCUGUCAGCAGUUGUGAUACACAUGGAGUAAAAAGAUCCUGAAUGUUGGAUGCUUUGGUCCUAGGGGAAAAAGUGAAUUAAGAUGAAGAGAUGAGUGUGUACAAUUCUGAUUACAGGUCAAGUACAGGGAACUGAAUUAAGCACUGGAAAAGCUGGAAGUGACAUUGUUGGGAGAAAGAAACUUGGAUUGUGGAUUUAGGAGACAACAGAGAUUAAAAAUUAGGCAAACUGUUUCAAAGAGAUUCGUCGACCUUGAGGAAAACUAGGCACCAAUGCACAGAUAUUCACAUGUUAAUGGAAGAUGCAUUCCUUCUUUCUGUAGUAUAUUACAAAAGCUGAAAUGAAUCAUAGACCUAAAAUGUAACAUCCAAGUAUGAAUCAUUACAUAUCAAAAAUGUAUUAAUUUUGGAUGGUGGGUCCUACCCAAUAUGGAAGCGUUAGAGGACAGACUGAAGGAGCUAAAGGGAUUGCAAUCCCAUAGGAAGAAUAACACUGUCAACUAACUCAGACCCCUCAGAGCUCCCAGAGUCUAAGCUAAAAACCACGGAGCAGACAUGGCCUGGUGUGUGGCCCUGGGCACAUGUGUAGCAGAGGACUACCUUUUAUGGCCUCAGUGGGAGAAGAUGCACUUAAUCCUGUGGAAGCUUGAUGCCCCUGGAAGGAGGGGUGCUG